GCUCGUUUGGUUUGGCAGACACUAAAAUGGAAACGAUACAGAGAUUAGCAUGGCCUCUAUGCAAAGAUGAGACCCAAAUUUGUAAAGCAUUCCAUAUUUUU
ensembl:snRNA U6 U6 spliceosomal RNA